GAUGAAGAACGUAGCGAAAUGCGAUAAGUAAUGCGAAUUGCAGAAUUCAGUGAGUCAUCGAAUCUUUGAACGCACAUUGCGCCCUGUGGUAUUCCGCAGGGCAUGCCUGUUCGAGCGUCAUUUCAACCCUCAAGCCCCGCUUGGUGUUGGGCCCCGCCCGCUGUGGCCGGCCCUAACGACAGUGGCGGCGCCGCCUGGCCCUCAGCGUAGUACAUCUCUCGCUCCAGGGUCCGGUGGCCGCCUGCCAGAACCCCCCAACUCUGUGGUUGACCUCGGAUCAGGUAGGGAUACCCGCUGAACUUAAGCAUAUCAAUAAGCGGAGGA
rnacentral:misc_RNA from 1 species